rnacentral:tRNA from 1 species
UGGGAAUGUGGCUCAGUGGUAGAGCACUUGCCUAGCAUGCACGAGGCCCUGAGUUCAACCCCCAGUACUAA